UACGUAGGUGGCAAGCGUUAUCCGGAUUUACUGGGUGUAAAGGGCGUGUAGGCGGGAUGGUAAGUCAGAUGUGAAAACUAUGGGCUCAACCCAUAGCCUGCAUUUGAAACUAUCGUUCUUGAGUGUUGGAGAGGCAGGCGGAAUUCCGUGUGUAGCGGUGAAAUGCGUAGAUAUACGGAGGAACACCAGUGGCGAAGGCGGAUUGCUGGACAGUAACUGACGCUGAGGCGCGAAAGCGUGGGGAGCAA
rnacentral:rRNA from 1 species